UACGUAGGGUGCGAGCGUUAAUCGGAAUUACUGGGCGUAAAGCGUGCGCAGGCGGUUUGCUAAGACAGGUGUGAAAUCCCCGGGCUUAACCUGGGAACUGCGCUUGUGACUGGCAGGCUAGAGUACGGUAGAGGGGGUGGAAUUCCUGGUGUAGCAGUGAAAUGCGUAGAUAUCAGGAGGAACACCGAUGGCGAAGGCAGCCCCCUGGGCCUGUACUGACGCUCAUGCACGAAAGCGUGGGGAGCAAACAGGAUUAGAUACCCCU
rnacentral:rRNA from 1 species